UACGAAGGGGGCUAGCGUUGCUCGGAAUCACUGGGCGUAAAGGGUGCGUAGGCGGGUCUUUAAGUCAGGGGUGAAAUCCUGGAGCUCAACUCCAGAACUGCCUUUGAUACUGAGGAUCUUGAGUUUCGGGAGAGGUGAGUGGAACUGCGAGUGUAGAGGUGAAAUUCGUAGAUAUUCGCAAGAACACCAGUGGCGAAGGCGGCUCACUGGCCCGAUACUGACGCUGAGGCACGAAAGCGUGGGGAGCAAACAGG
rnacentral:rRNA from 1 species